AGUCUCUUGGAAAUCAAAGAAACAAGAGACUGUGUCCAGGAGCUUUGCAGAAGCAGAGUUUAGAAGCAUGUCUACUUGUAGUGCAGAGAUCACCUGGUUACUUAGACUAUUUCAAGAGCUAGGAAUCCAGAUUAAACAACCUGUAGACUUAAUGUGUGACAUUAAAGCAGCAAUACAGAUUGCUGAUAAUCCUAUUUUUCAUGAAAGGACAAAACACAUUGACAUAGAUUGUCAUUUUGUGAGAGAAAGAAUCAGUCAGAAAAUGAUCAAGACCAAUCAUGUGCCUACAGAGGAGCAGCUAGCAGAUAUUCUCACAAAAUCCUUAGAGAAGAGUCGGCACGAAUAUCUACUAAGUAAACUGGGAAUGAAGAACAUGUUUAAGCCAUCAACUUGAGGGGGAGUGUUAAGAUAGUGGAAAGUGUAAUCAACAAGUUGAUGAUUAGUUAGAGGAAGUUAGUGUGUGUGAUGUAUGUGUGAGUGAGUUAGUUGGUUAAGUGUGACAGCUGUCAAUAUACAGCUGUCACAAGGAGCAAACUAACCCUAUAAAUGUGACUUGUAGUGCCAUAACAAGCUAACAGAAAAUAAAUCAAUAAAAACUACUUCUAGAAUCUUCUACUCCUCUCCUUCAAGCUCUCAGCUCAAUACUAUAGAAAUCUAACAGUCUCUCAAUCUAUUUUAUCAUCCUUUCUUCUGUUUUUCCUUUCCACUCCAAAUUCUUUGAAGUAAUUCAUCUAAUUGUGUCAUAGGUAUGGUUUCUAGAUGCUACUCCAGAAGAGGUUCGAGCUGGUGCAGAUGGAGAUGAUCAUCUAGCUGAAUUGAUAUCAUUUCUAAGUAAAUUACCAAAAGAGGGUUUGAAGAGCAGGAAGGUCAACCAAUUGCAGGGACAAAAAUUUGGCAACAAGGAUUCAAAGAACCGGUUAAUAGUCAAGGCAUGUGCUAAGGAAAUUGCCUUUGACCAAAAAAUCUAGGAGCGCCCUGCAGGCUGGUAUCAACAAGCUAGUUGAUGCUAUCGACUUGACACUAGAUCCUAGGGUCCUGAAGCCCUUUGGAUUUCCUGCCGAAAGGAACGUAGUUUUGGAUGAGUAUGGCACCCCUAAGGAGUUUGUGAAACAAUUGAUUCUGGCACUUACUACUCACUUUCUUCCAGUAGUUAUUGAGUGUAUUGGUGGUAUUAGGGUACAAGAAGGGGCCGUGCUUGAUCCUCCUCCUCCUAAUAGUGAUGGUGAUGAUGUUGAUUCGUAGCUUCAUAGUAUUCAUAGCCCUCCAUUGUUGCAUUAAUUUUUGAUAGACUAUUUUAUGUGGAAGUACAAAACAGUUAUGUAGUAACAUGUGGGUUUGACAUUAGGUUAUGUUUGACAAAAUACUUGAAGUUGUGGAUGUUUGGACACAAUUAUGUGAUGUAUUUUUCUAUCUCUAUAUUUUGAACAUUCUAAUAUAAGUAAUUAUUUAUAUGAA